GACCAUCUCCACUGUGAUGAUCGUGUGGGCGUGCAGCACAAUGGAGUGUGGACAAGCUGUUAAUUGUAUGGGGGGAGGAAGCACAUUCCAAAGCCUCGGGGCAGCAGUGGAGAACGCCUGUCCCUGAGUGGCCACCAGACGAGCCGGUGGCAACUGCAGACGGACCUCUCCAGCAGAUCUCAGUGGGCAGUGGGGCUCAAGCAGAAGAAGGUAUUAUACUGAACAAACAUUCCAAAAUCUUCUCUGCAAGCUACAAGGCUGUAUUAUAAUGUAGAAACGCUAAUAGAAAUACAGUACUCAUUGCUUAUAACAGAUGCAGCUCACUCAUUUCAUUGUGGAAGAAGAGAUGUGCAAGUUCUUCUUUUGGACUUUGGACUAGAAGUGUAAAAAGAAACAGCAUGAUUCUGAUUCUAUUGCUGAUUGUUCUUCUCUCCCACAUCUGCUUUGGAGCUCAAGCCAUCCUAGUUGCAGUUCUUUAACUUGGUGUCAGUGGAGACUCCAAAUGUAUGACCAAAUGCAGCUGUUCACCCUCACAAAGCACUUUGGUAGAUUGGGCAAGGGGAAAGUGAAGUUUCCUUAAAUGAGGCAGAAACCAUAUGUCUGGAAAAUUCAAGAGAAUUCCUGCCCUCUGGGGCACCAGGACAAAGGAAGAUGGAGUUGAGUAGAGUAUAUGUUAAUGUGCCAACCUUGACACCAGGUUGGCAUAUUGAUGAUGGGCUUUUCCAGCUAGAACAAUCACCCAGAUAGUUUGGGAGAUGGCCCUUUUGUUUUCCCAGUGACUGAGCAAUCCUGAGAGAUCAGGGUAGUUAAUGAGGCAUGCAGGAAGGAAUGCAAUCAAGUGUAUUAUUCUAGCAAACAGACAGGCUGUGAGGAUUCUAAUUUAUCAGUCUCAGGAAGGCUAAGGAGAUUUUGGUACAGAAAGUCAAUCUCAGGACAUCAGCAUGACUCAGCAAAAAUACAAGACUUGUUUCCAGGUUUCUCAUAUACGUGACUCUUCUGACCUGUCCUUUGCUAAUGUAUUCAUGCAUCUUUUCCUGGACUUCAAAAUACAGGUCCUCCAUGCCAGCAUCGCAGGAUGUAAAAUGGUGGCUUCCCAUAAAAAAACUACUGGCAAAUGACAAAACAAAAGACAACCUGACUACUUUCCUUGUGCACCAUUUAGUGGACUAUGGAAAGGCAUCAAUGUUUCAUCCCUUUCAACCACCCAGGAGGACUCAGGCACUAAGAUUAUUCUUCAUGCAGUGUACCUAGAAUGUCAAGGAAUAAAGUACCCUCCUCUGAUGUACAGCACAUACACUCUCCUGACACUUAAGUUUUGGUUUUGUCUGCUAGAAGAUAGCCUACAAUUCCACCAGACUUUGGAAUUUUGGUGGGAUAUGGCAUGAAAUGGUACACUGAUCUUGCCCCAAUUUACAAUGUACUAGGUCCUAUAAAGGCCUCCACACUGCCAGGGCUGCACGCAUUAUUUAUUAUUUAUUUAACAUAUUUUUAUACCACCCAAAACUUACUGCUCUGGGCAGUUUACAACAAAACAAAAUAAAUGACAACAGAAAAGGUUAAAACAUUACAACAAUUUAAAAAUUUUAAAACAAUGUUAGAACUAUUAAAACAGUAUUUAAUUAAAAGUCUGGGUGAACAGAUGCAUCUUUAAAGACUUUUUAAAAGUUCUCAAAGAUGGGAAUGUUCUAAUUUCAGCAGGAAAUCUUCAAAUGUAUUCCAUGUUGCAAUCUGUUGGAUUCGAGUUGAGUCUUUCUCCACUUGUGCACUCCAGUCUACCUUGCCACUUCAGCCCCCAUAAUUCUUCCAUAUACCAUGGGGCCAGUUUUGAAGCGUGUUGGAGAGGAUGAAUAUCGUUUCCUUCUUCAACAAAGGAAAAUUGAUAUGGUGGAAGGCAUUUGACUAACAAUUACAUCUUAGAAAACUUGGCCAAAUUGGGUACCACACCCUCUAGUAUUGAAGACCUCGUGGAUGCCAUAGAAAACUUUGAUUGUCAGCUUUAUGUCCCACAAACCACUAUGACAGAUACUGAAGAUAUAAGGUGAUAGUUAUCACCUUACAUUCACCAGCCAUUCUAAGAGCAAACCUACAGGCACUUCAGUGGAAUCGAGAUAUCAUCCCACAUCCUGAUGUAUCACCACCCACAAAACUAGGUUUGGAAAAAGUGGGAGAUGGAUGCGAACCAAUAAUAUGUACAAUGUCCUGUAGUCCUCCCAUUAGAUUGGAAUUGCGUAGCUCUCAGGGCAGGCUCAAGCCAUUGGUCAGAUUGGCCUCAACAAGGGCCAUUGAGUGUUCAUGAGCAUCAAAAAGAGCAAAGUAGACUUCCAUCAUCUCAAUCUACUCUAACAGACCCUUCCUUCACCAAUUCCCUAAUCUUAUCUGACACAGGAGAUAGGGCCACUUUACAUCUCACCACCCAGAGGGGAGGAAAUUUGAAUACUCUUUGAACUAGGACAGGUGGAAGCUCGCCCCCACACCCUUUUUCAUUUGCAAAUGGAUGUUCCACUGGGAGAAGCUGUAGAGAUUAACGCUCUCUCAGCUAAGCACCUGCCUACUGAUAGACUAAGACAAAGCUCAAUGCUAGUCAGUUAAUAAAUGCUUUUAGUAUUUUCUUUUGAAUUCUUGUGUGCCUUUCUUUAUUUCCAAUUUCAACCUACUUUCUCCCAAUUCCUUAUUCUGUGUGCAAUUCUUAUUUCUUAAUAAAGUUCGGAUACGUAAAAGUGGCUCUUUCUGUACAGUGCCUCUAAGACCCAAACCAGACAGUUCUAGGUUGUUGAAGCAGUGUCUAAGCCUGGUCGGUGGCUUAGAGCAACUGGCAGCCUACCUUGAAGGAGCUUAGAUGCUCCUAGAUUUGGGAUCAGAGCAAUCUUUCUACUGAGGGUAGGUCCCAGGGAAGCAUAGAGUCACCCCCGUUUCUUCACAAUUGGCUGGCAGCGGGUGGGAUCAAAAUUGAAUUGUUUUGCAAGGAUUUUGCUAGAAGCUGACUGAGAGCCAGAACCAGGUUGCACAGAAAAGGUGGAAAGGAGUAAAUAUACACACUGAUUAAUGUGAUUUCUGUUCGGUUUUAUUCAGGGUAUUUGGAGGAUUCAGUAAGGUGCAGAUCCUUGCUGGGGCCCUUCCUAAGCAAGC